rnacentral:lncRNA from 1 species
CCACCGAUCUUUUAUUAAGGUGUGAUCGGUUCACCAUUAAAAAUAAAUUUUAGGUCUGCGAAUUUUGAGAAAACAGGUUCGGGAGUCGGUUACGCACGAGGAAGGGUUAGCACCCUCGUGACGCCCGAAAUUGGUACCGAAUUGAUUAUUUAAUGUCUUAAUGUCGAGAUUUUGAAAAGAUUUUAAAAUACAAUCCUUUUAUUUUGAAGUUAAAUUUGACUUUUAA